rnacentral:rRNA from 1 species
GAUGAACGCUGGCGGCGUGCCUAAUACAUGCAAGUCGAGCGAACGGACGAGAAGCUUGCUUCUCUGAUGUUAGCGGCGGACGGGUGAGUAACACGUGGAUAACCUACCUAUAAGACUGGGAUAACUUCGGGAAACCGGAGCUAAUACCGGAUAAUAUUUUGAACCGCAUGGUUCAAAAGUGAAAGACGGUCUUGCUGUCACUUAUAGAUGGAUCCGCGCUGCAUUAGCUAGUUGGUAAGGUAACGGCUUACCAAGGCAACGAUGCAUAGCCGACCUGAGAGGGUGAUCGGCCACACUGGAACUGAGACACGGUCCAGACUCCUACGGGAGGCAGCAGUAGGGAAUCUUCCGCAAUGGGCGAAAGCCUGACGGAGCAACGCCGCGUGAGUGAUGAAGGUCUUCGGAUCGUAAAACUCUGUUAUUAGGGAAGAACAUAUGUGUAAGUAACUGUGCAUAUCUUGACGGUACCUAAUCAGAAAGCCACGGCUAACUACGUG